rnacentral:lncRNA from 10 species
UGGUAGGUGCUGCAGGUUGCCCAUGCCUGAUCACAAGGGCCAGAUGCAUGGUGGCAACAGGGGUCAGGCUGUCUGCAUGUGUGUGUUUGUGUGUGUGUGCAUGCAGUAGUCCUGCAGAGAUCAGCCUUGAGUGUAUGUGGGGUCAAUUUCUGAGGUGAGGGGCUUUGGGGCUCUUUGCGAGCUCUAGGCUGAGCCUGACAGCCCCGUGCUUAAGACCAGCCCCAGGAUCUCCAGGCACAAAGUCAGUUCCCAUAGACCUAGGCUUCAGACUAGACCAAUGGCGGGCUAGAUCCCAUGGACUGAGGCUUCAAGACUAUAUCUGCAGACAUAGGAUCCAGGCCAGGCCCUGUGGGCCCAGGACCCAGACCUGCACUAUGGACUCAGGGUCCAGGCCAGCCCCAGUGCCAAGCCAGUGCUUGUGGACUCAGGCUCCAGGAUCAUCCCAGCACCUGCCCAGCCCCUGUAGAUGUAGGUC